UAAGGAAACAUACAUUUGGUGUUCAUGCUUGGCUGAGUCAGUGGGGUAGAGCUACCAUCUGUGGGAUUAUGACCAAAUACCUCUAAGUCAGAAUCCCACCCAAGCAGAAUGAUAAGGGAAUUCGUCCUGCCUGACUGCAUGGGAUGGGACAUCGGUUUUUUGCUGAUUCAGACUGAAACUGGAGCAUCAGCUCUUCUUGAGUCUUGAACCUACUGGGUUUUGGACCAGUAUUAUAAAUCAGUCAAAACUAAAGAUUUGACAGAGUCUCUCAAUAUGAACAGUCAAAAGUUCUUUGCAAGUAAUACUAGAACCAUGUCAGGUCUCCCAAGUAUAUACAUAAAUUCAAUAGUAUCUCCAUUUAAAAAAUCCAUUAAGAUUAUUUUAUAAACUGUGAUAAACAGAUACAUGAUUUUCACACAAGGGAAAAAUGUGACAGACUAGUUUUUUACAUGAAAAGUUAAUGAAGGUCUUGUUCUUGCCAGGGUGCAGAGUCAAGUUGUAGUAAUUCAAGUGGGUUAGGAAUGUCAUCAGCACAGAUGAAGAGAUCAAAGAAAGAGAGCCCAGAAACAGAUGCAAAUAUGGGAAUGUUUACUGCCUAAAAAAGAUGACCUGCAAGUCUGUUGGGAAACAAUUCAAUGAAUACUGAGGCAAUAACUGAAUAUCCCUUAGUAGGGGGAGAGCAAGAUCCCUCCCUGACUAUGAGACUAUGUUCCAGAUGAAAUAAAAGAUAAUUAUUAAAACUAUUAAAAUGUUAGAAAAUGAGGAUUUUCAGACUUACAAUAGAAAAAUGUCUUAAAGACUCAAGUGCCAGAUAAAAGAAAAUAAUAAAAUCGACCUUAUAAAGGAGAAAAAUCUCUGUGAAAAAAUAAAAGGGACACAGAAAAAACUUAAAUUAGUAUGUUGUAUAACCAACAAGGAACUCAUUCAGAAUUUAUACAGAUCAAUAAGAAAAAAAAAUAGAAGCUGCAGACUAGACAAAUGCCUAAAGUAUAUGAAUGAAAAGUUCACUGAAGAAAGCAUACAAAUGAUCAAUAAGUGGACAAACUCUUCUCAAUUAAAUGCGCAUUAUAUUAGCAGCAAGUCUUGCUUGUUUUGGCGAGACAGUCACAACAUUUAAAACCUGGAUACUAUCCAGUGUUUUUAAGGGAUGUAACCAAGCCAUCAAUCACACUGAUUUGUGGACUUCAAAGUCAGCAUAGUACUUUUGAAGCAUGACUUGACAGUAUCUCACAUGGUUAAAGGUGCAUGCCCUUGACUCAGAAAUUCUAAGUCUAGAUAGCUUUCUUAAAGUUUAAGAAUAUGUAGAGACUUCAUGGCAACAUUGUGUCUACCACUGAAAUACUGCAAACAUAGAGAUCUAUAAACAGGAGAAAGGUCCAAAAACAGGACAAUUCACACUGUAGAACACGUUGCAGAUGUUGAGAAUAAGGGCCAUCUAUGCGUGCUGCUACGGAAACAUCUCCAAAAUAAAUUACAAAACUUAAAAAUUUACAGAAUAUAGACAUAUUCCCCUGUGUCAUUGAUGGGCCAUGGGAAAGUGGAGAUGUUACUUUACAUAUCUAUACACAAUAGAUCUUUUUUAAUUGAUAUUUUAUUGAUAUAAAAAAAGAUCUAUUGUGUAAAAAACUAAAGACAGUGGUUGAGUAGGGUUAAUGAUUAAAAAGGUCUUUAAAAAAUUAUUCAUCUGCAUUGUUAAAAAGAUCAUACAUUGAUAGAUUUCUUAUAUAAUUUGAAAAAUUAAAAAUUACAGAAGUAAAAUUUAACUCAGGUCUGCCUGAUUGAGGGAUGAAAAUGUCUUCACAGACUUCAUUUUAAAAGAUGUUUUGGUAAAUUCGUUUAUGAUUCAAUGGAAUUCUAGCUAUUAUAUUUGGACA
rnacentral:lncRNA from 1 species